CCUCUUUCUUCACUGUGUUCUUCACACGAUCUUUGAGGAACAAUGCUUUGCUUAUCCUUAUGCUGUGGUUUAUAGAUGUUAAUCUCCUGCUCUUCUUCCCUUUCUUCUUUCGUAGCCUGCAGAAGAUUACAUCUCUUUUCAGCUGAAGCACAGACAUUCUCAGUCCAAUUCCUAUCUGAUUCCGUCAACAAUCGCAGCACACCUUUCCCAAAUCUGAUUUGACAAGAUUUUUUUUUUGCUGGUGGAGCUUUUUUGUAAGCUGUCAUAGCUAGUUCUAGGUAUCUUUGUUUGAUUCAUAGUUAUGUAUGUCCCUUUAAUGGCGUUGUACAUAGCAUAACUGUGUUCUUCUGUUAAUUUCCCUGAUCUCUCUCCUGAUGUGUUGCCUGGAUUGUUAUCUUCCUUAUUUUAAUCUGUAUUGAAGGGAUUUCUGCUUUAUCCAUGUUCAUAAUUCCUCUACAUUCCACUAAUAGUUGUUGAAAUGUAUGAAUUUGUAUU